GAUGAACGCUGGCGGCGUGCCUAAUACAUGCAAGUCGAGCGAAGCGGGGAAGGGUGAGUAAAACGUGGAUAACCCCCUAUAAGACUGGGAUAACUUAGGGCAACAGGAACUAAAACGGAUACUUAUAGAAGGAUCCACGAUGCAUUCGCUAGUUGGUAAGGUAACGGCUUACGAGGGCAACGAUGCAUAGCCGACCGAGGAGGGGGAUCGGCCACACGGGAACUGAGACACGGUCCAGACUCCGACGGGAGGCAGCAGUAGGGAAUCUUCCGCAAUGGGCGAAAGCCUGACGGAGCAACGCCGCGUGAGUGAUGAAGGUCUUCGGAUCGUAAAACUCUGUUAUUAGGGAAGCGGUACCUAAUCAGAAAGCCACGGCUAACUACGUGCCAGCCGCCGCGGUAAUUC
rnacentral:rRNA from 1 species